rnacentral:rRNA from 1 species
UACGAAGGUCCCAAGCGUUAUCCGGAUUUAUUGGGUUUAAAGGGUGCGUAGGCGGCUUAUUAAGUCAGUGGUGAAAGCUCCAUGCUUAACAUGGAAAUUGCCAUUGAUACUGAUGAGCUUGAGUAUAUUUGAAGUGGGCGGAAUGUGUCGUGUAGCGGUGAAAUGCUUAGAUAUGACACAGAACACCGAUUGCGAAGGCAGCUAGCUAGACCGACAUUGACGCUGAGGCACGAAAGCGUGGGGAUCAAACAGG